CAUCGACGCGGGCGAAAAGCUAGUAUUUUAUAACACACUAUUGACAUUUUCCUGCACUGAUUCCAGCAAAUGAUACCUACUUAGAAAUACACGUGUUUCAUUUCGCUUCCACAAGUGAAGGACUAACUUAGAUAAAGUUAAUCAAGAAAGUUCCAAAACACGGAAAAAGUUUAAAGCAAUUUAAAAAUAAUAAGCAAGUUAGAGUAUUAAAAGUACAAUUGAUAUAAUAACUUUAAUUCGAACUAAGACAUUUUCUUGUCGCACUGUGCUAAAUAGAUAUAAAGAAAAUUGUAUUCUAUAUUAUAAGGAAGCCUAUGUACAGCAUUUAUGGGCUACAUUAUUUAUUUAUUUAAUGGACAUAAACACAGAGAAUUGCCGUUGCAAAUGAAAUCGUAAAAAAGAUAUGUAGGUUAGGUUUCACGUAGCCAGGCCAAGAACAUGUAUUUCGAAUAAAAAAACAGCAAAUAAAGGUAUUUUUAGAACAAAAAAAAGAAUUUAAGUAUUGUGUGUAUUAUUAAGUGUGAGUUUUGUGUGUAGGUAACAUUAUUAGACAUUAUUUUAGUAUCGUUAGUAUAUUAUUUAUUAAUAGUAGUGAUUAUUCUAAAUAAAAAGUACUUAAUAAAAACUAUAAUAAGUAAUUAAAAACUAGUUUACGGUUCUACUAAGAUUUUUAGUAAAGACACUAGAUACUGAACAUAUUUAAAAAAAAUAUAGAAAAUCAUCGUAAUUCUUCGUCCCAAUUUUGAAAAACUACCUUCUUCAGUCUGCUGAACAGAUUCUCAAAUUCCACAAUUAAAUCCCACACCAUAAAAGUUGCAAAACGAACGCGAUUGUCAGCUGUCAUCAAUUAUAUUUAUUAAAUUAAAAAAAAAAACACAUUGACAGUUGUAGUUUUCGUUUUGCAACUACCGGCUUUCAAACAUAAGUAACAGGACUCCAAAUACACGGACAUACAGACAAAUGUAUGUACUAUGGCAAUUAGCCCAUCACCACCUCUUUAGGUAAUAGAUACUAUUGUAGUUUUGGAAAGGGACGCCGCUCUAGAACGUGUAGUGCGCUGUCACUUUUCCACAACUACAAUACUUCCUUAAAAAGUGGGGGCAGUUUGAUUACCAUAAGUACUAUACGUAGGUGUGGCCAUCACGAAAUGUCAUCAAUUUCACUACGAAUAGCGAGCACAAUUUAGCUUUAAAAAGACGAAACAAUUUUCUUAACAACACACGCAUUUGGCAGUUUUGUGAAUCCCAGCUUACCUACGAUCGCGAAUGUACUCUGCGGUAUGAAAUGAAAAGCAGUUUUGACCAUUUUUUCAGAAAUUGUGUGUCCAAUAAAAAUAUGGGAGUAGGCGAACAAAGGUUUAAGACUUAAUAUAUUUGAAUCGCUUUAACGUCAAAGAUUAUCUGUAAUUGUUAAACAUAUCAUACGUCAAAAACUACAAAUAAUCUACGUUCAAUCAUCAGGCGAUUCUAAUACCAAUAAAAGUCAUCACCCUUUUAGCAUCCACUCGUCAGUACUUUCUGAGACACCCUGUACAAUCUGCUUAGAUAAUAUUCAAUGGAAAUAAAAAAAAAAACAAUAAAAAACUUAUAAUUCGUCCAAGCAGGUUGCACAUGUACACAAAUAAAACUUUCCAAAUAUGACACUGGCCGGAAUGCAUUUCGAAUAAAAUAUUCGAAAUUCAAAUGAUUGUCUGUCAUUAUAGUACAAGGCGUCAGUCAUGUUAUCUUGCAAUUGGGUAUUCGCCGCUUUAAUCUAAUUUAAUAAAAAAGAUCUUGUUCCUAAAGAGAAGUUAGUUUUCAGCGGAAAAUAAUAGUCAUAGCGAAUAGUCAAAACUGUUAAGGUAUUAAAUACGGUGUAACAAGAAUAUUCAAGAAUAAAAAAAUGUAACAAAUUCGCUUCCAUUAAAAUUAAAAUGAAUAGGUAUAAAUUUGACAAAAAGUUUGAAGAUUUUUGAAAAACGCCAUUUAUUUACAUAAUACAAAACACUUUGUUUGGCGUCAGAUUCCCGCAGUCUCUAAGUUCCAACGGUGGAUGCAAGUGAACCAUGGUGCCUGUAGUCAGCUGUGCCAAGAACCAAGAAUAUGGGGCAGCGCCAUCUAAACCUUGACGUUAAACCGAAAUGGGAAUGUUUAAAAUAUAAUAUUUUUGUUAGUUCCUGAAGGGAUUGUAAUAAAUAAAAUAUUAACCAGCAUAAUUGUUGACUCAAUAAAAGGCCAAUGAGAGCACAUAUAUUAAUUAUUUCCGUGUAUUCUUUAACUUUUGUUGUCAUUAUCAAAUAUUGAAGCCUCGCCAUUAUUCCUAAAAUAGAGCAAUUUAAAUAAAUUUUAUAUUUAUUAUGAUUACUAAGUUUAAAAAGAUUUCAAAUAAAAUGUUUUUUUUUUUUAAUUUUAUAGCAACAUUGCCUAUCUGUCCAACGUUGAUCAUCUUUUACAGCGCCACCUCUUUUUGGCGUAUGGCAAACGUACCACCUUAGUUCUGUCUCUACUGUAUAGAUGUCGCUAGGAGUCUCACGGAAGUUGCGGACUUGAGUUGUUACUAAUUUUGUUUGGACCGGAACAACUUGGGAGUAUGAUACGAAUGUUACUGAAUUAAUCAUUGUAGUGAUCUUAGAUGUUAGACUGACAACAGCUAUUAUAAUUGUGUGAUCACAAAAAAAUAUUACCUUGUAUGUUACGGUAGCUGGUAGGUAACUACAACUACCUACUACAGAUGAACUAGGUAGGUAGUCUAGGUAGAUGAUGAGGUCCAAACAUAUUUUCGAAAUGUACAUGCUACACGUGAUUGACGAAAACCUAAAAUCAUCUCGAAUUAUUUGAAUCUGGGCUACAUUUUUUGAGUUAGUCAUAAAUACAGGUGCCUGCGCUAAUACAUGUCACUUUAUCUAAUGACCCCACUUUUUCACCGGUAUGUACUUAUCCUUCAGACAUGUCUUUCACCAGUUCACCACACUAAAAUGCACCUAUGUCGUUUGCCAGGUGGGCCAUGACGUAAUUGUUUGGUCCAAUAACGAUCUUUAAGACGUUCUAUAUGACCUGCCCAUUACCACUUUUGGCUGCAUUUGAGAGCAUCUAUUGCACUACUAAUAUAAUAUUAAGAGCAAAAAUUUGAAUCCUUUUACGCACAAACGGCUUGACACUUUUUUAGUAAAAUUGAUAAGGGGUCGUUACAGAUAAACCUUUAAGUUAGGUACAUAAACGAGAGUCUAAUGGGUAAAACGUCAAGUCAACCUUACAACUUUCCUUCUACCUGUCUAAUAGGUAGUACCUAGGCAUACUGAAACAACAAUAUUGAUCUGAUCUGAUCUUAGUUUACACUGACUGAGACUGGCCUAACUGCCGAACUCACGUCAAAGUUUAGACGGAGAUGCCCGUGGCCGGUCACCUGGAUGCAAUUCGAUUGAACGAUUCAAGGUGUGGUCCCAUUAAGAGCUAUAAACUUUGAUAUUGUAGGUAAGACACAUGCUGAAUGCUUUCAUCAACUUCUUGAUUAUUUACCAACUGAAUCCAAGGAUAUCCGAUUGGUUUUAGUCACCACCACAAUCCAACUGUUUCCGAAGUUUCGCUGAUAGGAUUAAACCAAUUAUAGGUACUUAUACUUCGAUCUAUGUCUGCUUGUUCUGAGUCUGGGUGCCAUGUGUUGUGCAAAUGCCUUGAAUGUUCGUGAACCCUUCGAGACACAGGGAUUCAAUUCCAGAGAGAGGAUAUAUUAAAAAUCUUUUAGCGCGUGCAUCUACUCUUAAAUGGCUGUACCGAUUUGCUUGCAUAUUUUUGUAUGUAUUUUUGAUUGACAAUUUAAGUUUAUUAUAAGAAUUUUGUUCAAAGAAAGUCGUUGUUGAC